GUCGAAUGCUGGCGGCGUGUCUAAGGCAUGCAAGUCGAACGAUCCCUUCGGGGAUAGUGGCAAACGGGAGAGUAACACAUUGGUAACUUACCCUGAACUCGCGAACAACCCAUGGAAACGUGGGCUAAUACGCGAUAUCGAUGGGGGGACGCAAGUCAUUCCCAUUGAAAGUUCCGACGGUUCAGGAGAGGCCUAUGUCCUAUCAGCUAGUUGGUGAGGUAAAAGCUCACCAAGGCUACGACGGGUACCGGGCGUGAGAGCGUGACCCGGCUCACUGGGACUGAGACACUGCCCAGACUCCUACGGGAGGCUGCAGUCGAGAAUCUUCCGCAAUGCACGAAAGUGUGACGGAGCGACGCCGCGUGUCGGAUG
rnacentral:rRNA from 1 species